CUCGAACGGGAUGCCAAGCUCGGCAGCGAAGCGUGUGAGGUGGAGCUCGAGUGUGUGGCUGGACCCCGACGACAACAAUGCGGUCACCUUGAGGUUCGACAACGGCACUGAAGCGUGGCGCUACUGGUGCGCGAGCUCCUACGGCGGCCAAUGGGCACCAAAGCUGAGCUGGCGUGAGCUGCUGGACGGAGGCGGAGGACGGUGCGGCAACGCCGGCGUAGGUCAGCUCAAGCAGCGUGUACUCGAGCUCGACGCUGGUGGGGUCCUCAGCGUAGGCGAAAUAAGGGUAGGCGUUGACGAGGACAGCGAGCCGGUGCAGGCGUGGAAGUCAAGGAUGGGGCAGAGCAGCAAGAGGAGGUCCAGCAGCGUUGACGACGUCGCG
rnacentral:lncRNA from 1 species